UAUCUAGACAUGAAGUGUGCUUGACCAGAAGAGGUUAAACUCUGACGUCUCGGUGUCCAGAAUUCUGAACCUUGGACUGGUGCGCCAGACUAUAUUGUGACCUGGAUUAUGACGCAGGUUGUGGCAGCACUGCCGGAAGAUAUGACAGCAAGCUUUGAUUCUAGUGGGGCAUCAUUCCAAUUGGUGAUAUGUGUGCUUACUCUUGGACUGCUUGCUGUUUUUGUACUUCUUUGGAGAGGCUUCCGAUCAAUUCAAAGCCGAUUUUAUGUUGUAAGAGAGAAAAGACUCGCUCUUGAACUUUCUGUGCUAAUGGAAGAGAAAUGUAAACUACUUGAAAAAGUGAGCCUUGCUCAAAAGGAGGUAAGAAUGAAAAUAACAUCCAUUGUAGUGUGGCACUUAAUGGUUCUCCAUGGAUUAUUCAGUGCCAUCAGGCU
rnacentral:lncRNA from 1 species